rnacentral:rRNA from 1 species
UACAGAGGCCUCAAGCGUUAUCCGGAAUCAUUGGGCGUAAAGCGUACCGACAGGGGGUUGUACAAGUCAGAAGUGAAAUCUCCGAGCUUAACUCGGAGUCUGUCUUUUGAAACUGUACGACUAGAGGGGCAAAGAGGAAGCUGGAACGAACGGUGUAGCAGUGAAAUGCGUUGAUAUCGUUCGGAACACCAAUAGCGUAGGCAGGCUUCUGGGUGCCACCUGACACUGCUAGGACGAAAGCGUGGGGAGCGAAUGGG